AGUGAACGCUGGCGGUAGGCCUAACACAUGCAAGUCGAACGGCAGCACAGUAAGAGCUUGCUCUUACGGGUGGCGAGUGGCGGACGGGUGAGGAAUACAUCGGAAUCUACUUUUUCGUGGGGGAUAGCGUAGGGAAACUUACGCUAAUACCGCAUACGACCUACGGGUGAAAGCAGGGGAUCUUCGGACCUUGCGCGAUUGAAUGAGCCGAUGUCGGAUUAGCUAGUUGGCGGGGUAAAGGCCCACCAAGGCGACGAUCCGUAGCUGGUCUGAGAGGAUGAUCAGCCACACUGGAACUGAGACACGGUCCAGACUCCUACGGGAGGCAGCAGUGGGGAAUAUUGGACAAUGGGCGUAAGCCUGAUCCAGCCAUACCGCGUGGGUGAAGAAGGCCUUCGGGUUGUAAAGCCCUUUUGUUGGGAAAGAAAAGCAGCAGGUUAAUACCCCGCUGUUCUGACGGUACCCAAAGAAUAAGCACCGGCUAACUUCGUG
rnacentral:rRNA from 1 species